GCUACUUUUAAUUUUGCUGGCUUCAAAAUGAUUCUUACAACAAAUAUGACAAACCUACUUUAAUUAAUACUCCAUGUGUGCAAGAUUGAGAUAUAAGGACACCUAGUGGCCACAAUGCCAAAUAUAUGUUUAAAUAUAGGUCCUUGUUAUUUUACUUCUCAUCUUCACUCUGGUGGUGGUAGUGUUUCAGUAAUAGACACUGGUGGAGGUGGAGGUGUUUCAUCAUCAAAUAACGUUGCUCUCAUUGGCCUGAACACUUCAACUGGUGGUGGUGGAAAUGCUUCUACAUCUGCAUAUCUUUCUCCCUUCUUGAACCCUUCAUGUCUCUUUUUGCAAUAAAGAAUUCUGUGUGAAGAAGGAGAUUUAAACAACCUAAGUAUUUUUUCAUUUUAG